rnacentral:rRNA from 1 species
AAUCAACGCUGGCGGCGUGCCUAACACAUGCAAGUCGCACGAGAAAGGGGAGCAAUCCCUGAGUAAAGUGGCGCACGGGUGGGUAACACGUGAAUCAUCUACCUCCGAGUGGGGAAUAACUGAGAGAAAUCUUAGCUAAUACCGCAUAACACUUACGAGUCAAAGCAGCAAUGCGCUUGGAGAGGAGUUCGCGGCCGAUUAGUUAGUUGGCGGGGUAAUGGCCCACCAAGACGAUGAUCGGUAUCCGGCCUGAGAGGGCGCACGGGGCACACUGGAACUGAAACACGGUCCAGACUCCUACGGGAGGCAGCAGUGGGGAAUUUUGCGCAAUGGGGGAAACCCUGACGCAGCAACGCCGCGUGGAGGAUGAAGUAUCUUGGUACGUAAACUCCUUUCGAUUGGGAAGAUAAUGACGGUACCAAUAGAAGAAGCCCCGGCUAACUUCGUGCCAGCCGCCGCAGUAAU